rnacentral:ncRNA from 12 species
GGGUGCACCGCUGCCGAAGGCGCAGCGGCGCAGGCUUGACGGGUGGUCGGGCCGCCAUCC